UGCGGGGUCGUUCAAUGGUAGGACACUUGCCUUUGGAGCAAGGUACUCUUGGUCCGAAUCCAAGCCCCGCAG
rfam:Microgenomates (Gottesmanbacteria) bacterium GW2011_GWC2_39_8 TT63_C0052, whole genome shotgun sequence.